AAUAACCAAAUAUGAUACUCGAGCUAAAAGUCAAGUUGAUAAUUUUUCUUACAUCUUCUUCUCCCAUCAUAUACGCCCCCAAAAGCAG
rnacentral:ncRNA from 1 species